CUUCCAAACACUGCCUACUUUCUCGAUCUUUCGCCUCUCUCUCUCUCUCUCUCUCUCUUCUCUUUCCCCUAUUCUCCCCUCGCUUUUUCUCUCUCCUGCAAUUUGGUUUGAUCACCUUCUGCUCUCCUCGUCAAAUUAGGGAUUUGGAUCUGAAUUUCUACAGCGAUUGUGGGAGAGUAAGUGAGUGGUCUUUCAGUUUCAGGGUUAAUUUCAUCCUCAAUUCCUAUGAAUUGAAACCUGAAUCUUCAGAUACCGAUUUUAGACUCUACCUUUGCUUUAGGGUUUUACUUCUGAGGCGACUGAGAUGGUGGGUUCUCAGAAUCCGAAUGGGUCAUCAUCGCCGGCCAAAAAGUACGGCAUCACGAAGCCAAUCUCUGUCGCGGGUCCCACCGACGCGGAUCUUCAUCGGAAUGAUAAUUUGGAAAAGUUCUUGAUUAAUUCGGGGCUUUACGAGAGCCAAGAAGAAGCUGCUAGGAGAGAGGAGGUUCUUGGUCGCAUUGCAGAGAUUGUAAAGGAUUGGGUGAAGGUGUUAACUCGCCAAAGAGGCUAUACAGAUCAGAUGGUGGAGGAUGCAAAUGCUGUCAUAUUCACCUUUGGGUCCUACAGAUUAGGAGUGCAUGGACCGGGGGCUGACAUUGACACCCUGUGUGUUGGGCCAUCCUAUGUGAAUCGAGAGGAAGAUUUUUUUAUUGUCUUGCACAAUAUACUGGCUGAAAUGGAAGAUGUUGCAGAACUUCAACCAGUUCCUGAUGCUCAUGUCCCAGUAAUGAAAUUCAAGUUCCAAGGAAUUUCAAUUGAUCUUCUGUAUGCAAGUAUAUCUCUUUUGGUUGUUCCAAAAGAUCUGGACAUCUCUCAUGGAUCUGUGCUAUUUGAAGUGGACGAGCAGACUGUUCGAAGUCUUAAUGGGUGUAGGGUAGCAGAUCAAAUUCUUAAACUUGUCCCAAAUAUAGAGCAUUUUCGUACAACUCUCAGAUGUUUAAAAUUUUGGGCUAAAAGGCGCGGUGUUUAUUCAAAUGUUACUGGAUUCCUUGGUGGUGUCAACUGGGCUCUUUUAGUUGCUCGAGUAUGUCAGCUUUAUCCCAAUGCAAUUCCUAGUAUGCUGGUUUCUAGAUUUUUCAGGGUUUAUACACAAUGGAGAUGGCCAAAUCCUGUGAUGCUCUGUUCUAUUGAGGAGAAUGAACUUGGGUUCCCUGUUUGGGAUCCUCGCAAACACCCUCGAGAUCGAUUUCAUCUUAUGCCCAUAAUAACUCCUGCUUACCCAUGCAUGAAUUCUAGUUACAAUGUCUCAGCAAGUACUUUACGAGUUAUGACAGAGCAGUUCCAAUGUGGUAACAGGAUUUGUGAGGAUAUUGAGUUGAACAAGGUCCAGUGGAGUGCUCUGUUUGAGCCAUAUCUAUUUUUCGAGGCGUACAAAAACUACUUGCAGGUGGAUAUUCUAGCGGUCGAUGCUGAUGAUUUGCUAGCAUGGAGGGGAUGGGUAGAGUCUCGGCUUAGGCAGCUUACACUUAAGAUAGAGCGGGAUACAAAUGGGAUGUUGCAAUGCCAUCCUCACCCACAUGAGUAUGUAGACACAUCAAGGUCAUCUGCACAUUGUUCUUUCUUCAUGGGCUUGCAGAGGAAAGAGGGAGUGAAGGGUCAAGAAGGUCAGCAGUUUGACAUCCGUGAAACAGUUGACGAAUUUAGGCAAGACGUAAACAUGUAUAUGUUUUGGAAACCUGGGAUGGAUAUGUUUGUUUCACAUGUCCGUAGAAAGCAACUACCUGCCUUUGUCUUUCCUGAUGGGUACAAACGGUCUCGAUUGUCCAGGCACAUAAGCCCACAGGCCAAAAAGUUCAGUGAAGAUGCUGCAGGGUGCCAGCCUUCCUCUGCUGAGAAGAAGAGGAAAAAUGAUUCUGAUGCAGUGGAUGCAAAGCCAGUCAAACUGCAUAAGCAAGACUCUGCUAGCCCACAACGACCAUCUUCUGUAUCUCCCAAUAGUAAUUUGUCUGGUGGUGUUAGAUUAGAGUUCUUAGGAACUGAUGAUUCGAACUGUGGUUCUGAGUUUAGGUCUUCUGGUGGACUGUUGGAGAGUGACAAAAAUAUAUCAGGGAAGAAUGUGGAGAUUUUUCAAAAUAUCACGGCAGAACUCAUUUCUAGUCAUUUAAUUCCACAGGCCAAAGAAACCAGUGAAGAUGCUGCAGUGUCCCAGCCAUCCUCUGCUGAAAAGAAGAGGAAUAAUGAUUCUGAAGCAGUGAAUGUGAAGCCAAUCAAACAACAGAAGCGAAUCUCAGUUGGUCCCCAACAACCAGCUUCUGUCUCUCCUAAAAGUAAUAGGUCUGGUAGUGUUAGAUUAGAGUGCCUGGAAACUGGUGAUGCCAAUUGCAGUUCUGAGUUUAGGUGUUCUGGUGGACUGUUGGAGAGUGAAAAGCAUAUGCUUAGCAAUAAUGCAGAGAUGGCUCAAUAUGUUGCGAAAGAACUUGUCUCAAGAAACAUAAGCCAACAGGCUAAAGAAUCUAGAGAAGAUGCCGCAGGGUGCCUGCCUUCUUCCACUUCUACAAGGAAGUGUCAAAAUGAUUCUGAAGCAAUGGAUGUGAAGCCAGUCAAAGAACAGAAGCAAGCCUCUACAAGUCCACAGCAAUCAGCUUCUGGAUCUCCAGAAAGUAAUAGGUCUGGUGGUGUUAGAUCAGAGUGCCUAAGGAAUGGUGGUGCAAAGUGCACAUCUGAGGAUACAAUUGGGAGUCAUGUAGAGAUGGCUCAGAAAUCUAUGCAAGAAUCCGUUUUUCUGAAAGAGCAGACAUUUAUAUGUGUAUCUGAUUUGCCUGGCCCUGGGCAUGAGUUCAGGCCAGUUGAUUUGACUGAGUCUGGUGUCUCAUGUGCAGUACCUUGUUCAGAAUUCAAGGAAAUACACCAGGUUGGACAUAACGGAGAGAGAGUUGGGAAUUUGACAUUAGUUGACAUGGCAAAUGUGGAAAGUACAACUGCUGGGAGGCUGCUGAAUUGGGCAGAAGGUGCUGUUGAUGUCGACUCGGAGCUAGUCAAACCAUAUAAUCAAACAUCAAUCAUAGAGAAUGCCGAACAGGCAUUUAAUCCAACUUCUAAUGUUAAGAUCCUCAAUUGCGAGGGUGAUGUAUAUGCUGCUGCAGGUUCAGAUAGCUUCACUACCGGGAGUGGGUUGCUUCAGACUGGGUUAUAAGAAGAAUUAGAGCCAAAUACUGCACCUGGAAGUAUGGUAUACUGUAAAGAGGGAGUGAGGUCAGACUUUAUUGAAAACAGUGACAAGGUUGUCUGAGAUCUGUAGUUUGACAUCUGACAAGAAAAUCAUGGAAUGGAGUCCCUCAUGUGAAGAAAGCCAGCAAAACCUCGGUAAGUGUCUGGUUAAUUGCUGGCUUUUGUGGCUCUCAUUAUGGUUUUCCAGGUGCAUACGCCCGUGGCAUUGGGGGUGGAACAGGAUUAAAGUUGGGCCAUGCGCAGACCUGAUGCACAUCUGAGUGAUUUAGCAUAUGGUUUUAUGGAUUUAAAGAGAGUUGAAUUUGCGGAGCUGUUGAAGUGCAAGCACCGAAGAAGCUUUGGGCGAAUGCUGGUGCAAAGCCUUCUUUGCUUUGUUUGAUUAGUAUUUUCAUAUUUUGUGCGCAUCUAAUGCUCGGUCAUUGUGCAAUUUAAUGAUGUUUCAAUUAAACUUGCGGCAAAUUAGCUGUUGGAAGCACAAUGCUUCCUUGUACUGUACGAGGAUUUCCCUUCUCGCCAAUUGUGACGAUUUUUCAACACUUUUUUAACUGCUUAUCUUUUGUUCUC